rnacentral:lncRNA from 1 species
GAAAUAUUAAAAUAAUCACAAAUAUCUCUCAAAUAUAUCUCAAUUCAAUCUUAACUUAAUCUUAGUUAAAAUCUUAUUGGACUUCAUUCAAAAUUUAGGUCCAAAUUAAUUAAAUCUUAAAUCCUAAAUAAAUCCUAAUAAAAUCCUAAACCAAACCCUAAUCAAAUCUUAAACCCAAAUCCUAAAUCUUAAAUCCUAAACCAAAUCCCAAACUCUAAUUCAAACCCUAAAUCCUAAACCAAAUCCUAACUAAAUCUUAAAUCCUAAAUCAAACCCUAACCAAAUCCUAAACCUUAAAUUAAAUCCUAACCAAAUCCUAAACCCUAAAUCAAAUCCUAAUCCAAAUCCUAAAUUCUAAAUCCUAAACCAAAUCCUAAAUCCUAAAUCCUAAAUCAAAUCCUAAUCCAAACCCUAAUCAAACAUUAAACCAAUCCUAAACCAAAUCCUAACCAAUUCCUAACCAAA